AAGGAUUCAGUACAAUUGCACGCGCAUUUGAUGUCAUCAAAUGCGCGUGCAAUUGUACUGAAUCCUU
rnacentral:pre_miRNA from 1 species